rnacentral:lncRNA from 1 species
UUUUUUUGUUCUUUUUUUGUUUUUGUUUUUGAGAGCCGUCCCUACCUAUUCUUCUUAUCUUUACAAAUCUUAAUCUAUGGAAUAUAAGUGAGUUGCAGGGAAAGAAAAAUGAUGUUACGCUCUGAAUCUCUCAUCUUGCUCUUUCAAUUCUCAUGUUGCAGUCCGAGCUAAUGGUCCUAAUGAUGUGAGGUGAUUAUGGGAUAUCCGGGAAGACGACAUAGUUUGCUGAAAAUUUGAG